rnacentral:rRNA from 1 species
UACAGAGGUCUCAAGCGUUGUUCGGAUUCAUUGGGCGUAAAGGGUGUGUAGGUGGCGCCGUAAGUCGGGUGUGAAAUUUCGGAGCUUAACUCCGAAACUGCAUUCGAUACUGCGGUGCUUGAGGACUGGAGAGGAGACUGGAAUUCAUGGUGUAGCAGUGAAAUGCGUAGAGAUCAUGAGGAACACCGAUGGCGAAGGCAGCCCCCUGGGCUGAGAUUGACGCUGAGUGCACGAAAGCGUGGGGAGCAAACAGG